rnacentral:rRNA from 1 species
AUCUAUGGCCAUGCCACCCUGAAUGAGCUCAGUCUCAUCUGAUCUCAGAAGCUAAGCAGGGUCGGGCCUGGUUAGUAGUUGGAUGGGAGACCACCUAGGAGGACCAGGUGCUGUAGGUG